UUUCUCUGUAAGAAAGAAUUGCUCCCUGCACAGCUGAUGUCUAAGAGAGGCUGUGUCCUGAUGACAAGAUUCAGAAAGGUCGUGUAAAUUAUACUGAGAUGAAGAAGGCCUUCUACUUCUAUCUGCAAAGCCUCAGCCAAUGGAUCUGCCUGAAGUUUCCAAGAUGGCAUCACCUGUAAGAGAGAAAAAAUGUCAUUGAAUGGAGGAGAUGCUGAUUUCUAUGUGAGUGGACAUGAGAACAGAGAGUGCUUUGUGGCUGAAACUCAGUUAACUGGAAACCUCGGGAAUUGCAAAUUUUACAUGACUGUGGUUCAGUGGAUUGGAGUCUUGCGCUGAUAACUCAGAGAUAAAUGACUAGAUCCUGGUUUGGUAGCUGGUGCUGGAAAACAUGACCCUCUUCAUGGACUGAUGCUAUACAGACUCUGGUUGCCCUGGAGGAGGCCAUAUCCCUCACUAGCUUGUGCUGUGCUGGAAUUAAACUAACUGGCAAGGCUGACAGUGGGAGGAAAAGCAUGCUGUUUGUGCAGUGGUGUUGUUCCUACUGAUCUGUUAAACAAAAGCCUGCUUUUAAAAUAUUUUCCUUGUCUGAAGUCGAGUUUGCUCCAAGCAUGAGAAAAUGGUGAGCCUUUUGAUGUGCCAAUUGACUGCUAUUGUCAAUGUCUGAAUUUCUUAGAUUUCUUAGUAUUGAUUUAACGAAAUCCCUUGACAGCCUGGGUUUUAUCUCUUCCUGAUGACAUUCUGUCUCUUUUCUACUCAAAGAAAUGGCAGGUGUAUUAUAUACAGUAUCAUCAAUUUAUACUUCACAGCCAUUUAUCAGCUCCUGCUCUUCCUCAAAUUCUCUAUUUAUUGAUGUACUUAAGGACCAUGUUAUUCAGACAUUUCUUCUCAAUGAAAUGCAAAGAUUUGGUUUAAAGCAGGCUAUAGCUGAAACAUGGCGUUCAUCAAACAGUAACAUCUUUGUCAAACUUCAACAGAAUUAACCUUUACUGCCAAGGAAGUUUUGACUUCCA